UANGGCGCAAGCGUUAUCCGGAAUUAUUGGGCGUAAAGAGCUUGUAGGCGGUUCGUCGCGUCUGGUGCGAAAGCCCAUCGCUUAACGGUGGGUCUGCGCCGGGUACGGGCGGGCUAGAGUGCAGUAGGGGAGACUGGAAUUCCCGGUGUAACGGUGGAAUGUGUAGAUAUCGGGAAGAACACCAAUGGCGAAGGCAGGUCUCUGGGCUGUUACUGACGCUGAGAAGCGAAAGCGUGGGGAGCGAACAGGAUUAGAUACCCUGGUAGUCAAGGGCGAAUUCGUU
rnacentral:rRNA from 1 species